rnacentral:rRNA from 1 species
UACUGGGGGAGCAAGCGUUGUUCGGAUUUACUGGGCGUAAAGGGCGCGUAGGCGGCGUAACAAGUCACUUGUGAAAUCUCCGGGCUUAACUCGGAGCGGUCAAGUGAUACUGUUGUGCUAGAGUGCGGAAGGGGCUACUGGAAUUCUCGGUGUAGCGGUGAAAUGCGUAGAUAUCGAGAGGAACACCUGCGGCGAAGGCGGGUAGCUGGGCCGACACUGACGCUGAUGCGCGAAAGCCAGGGGAGCGAACGGG